rnacentral:rRNA from 1 species
UACGGAGGGAGCAAGCGUUAUUCGGAAUCACUGGGCGUAAAGGACGCGUAGGCGGGUUUGUAAGUCAGGUGUGAAAUCCUACAGCUCAACUGUAGAACUGCACUUGAAACUACAGACCUAGAGUAUGGAAGGGGCAGAUGGAAUUAGUGGUGUAGGGGUAAAAUCCGUAGAUAUCACUAGGAAUACCGAAAGCGAAGGCGAUCUGCUGGGACAUUACUGACGCUGAGGCGUGAAAGCGUGGGGAGCAAACAGGAUUAGAAACCCUAGUAGUCC